GAAUUCGCCCGUUUUCCGGUUGACCUGCCGGACCCGACUGCUAUCGGGGUGGGGCUAAGCCAUGCGAGUCAGCGCCCUCGGCCAUGAGAGGGCGCGGCGCACGGCUCAGUAACACGUGGCUAACCUACCCUCAGGACGGGGAUAACCUCGGGAAACUGAGGCUAAUCCCCGAUAGAUGAGAGAUCCUGGAAUGGUCUCUCAUCUAAAGGGUAUACAUAUCAUGCUAUGUAUACCGCCUGAGGAUGGGGCCACGGCCCAUCAGGUAGUUGGUGGGGUAACGGCCCACCAAGCCUAUAACGGGUACGGGCCCUGAGAGGGGGAGCCCGGAGAUGGGCACUGAGACAAGGGCCCAGGCCCUACGGGGUGCAGCAGGCGCGAAACCUCCGCAAUGCGCGAAAGCGCGACGGGGUCACCCCGAGUGCUACCCGCUGAGGGUAGCUUUUCCCCAGUGUAAAAAGCUGGGGGAAUAAGCGGGGGGCAAGUCUGGUGUCAGCCGCCGCGGUAAUACCGGCCCCGCGAGACCAAGCUCCAAGAAUUAAAUCUAAUUGUACGUUAAAAAAUGAAGAAUUAUGAAAAUAAAGCUUAAUUCUUCUUAAAUUAAUUUUAAACUUAAAGAAUUUUCAAAAAACAAAAUCUCAUUUAUAAAAAGCUCCUGACUUUAGUCGUGGAGUAGCCCACUAGGUUCUUGAAAAAUAUAUUCUUGGAGCUUGGCGCGAUUGGUCGGGACGAUUAUUGAGCCUAAAGCGUCCGUAGCCGGCCUAGUGUGUCUCUGGUUAAAUCCCAAGGCUCAACCUUGGGAUUGCCAGAGAUACUACUAGGCUAGGGGGCGGGAGAGGCUGGGGGUACUCCGCGGGUAGGGGCGAAAUCCUAUAAUCCGCGGAGGACCACCGGUGGCGAAGGCGCCCAGCUAGAACGCGCCCGACGGUGAGGGACGAAAGCUAGGGGAGCAAAGGGGAUUAGAUACCCCCGUAGUCCUAGCCGUAAACGAUGCGGGCUAGGUGUUGGAUCGGCUUCGAGCCGAUCCAGUGCCGCAGCGAAGGCGAUAAGCCCGCCGCUUGGGGAGUACGGCCGCAAGGCUGAAACUUAAAGGAAUUGGCGGGGGAGCACCACAAGGGGUGAAGCCUGCGGUUUAAUUGGAGUCAACGCCGGGAAUCUUACCGGGGGAGACAGCAGGAUGAAGGCCAAGCUGAUGACUUUGCCAGACGAGAUGAGAGGAGGUGCAUGGCCGUCGCCAGUUCGUGCCGUGAGGUGUCCGGUUAAGUCCGGCAACGAACGAGACCCCCACCCUAUAUUGCUAAGUCUCCUCUUCGGAGGAGACUGCACAUAUAGGGGACUGCCGGCGCUAAGCCGGAGGAAGGAGGGGGCCACGGCAGGUCAGCAUGCCCCGAAUCCCCCGGGCUACACGCGGGCUGCAAUGGCGAGGACAGCGGGUUCCGACCCCGAAAGGGGGAGGUAAUCCCUUAAACCUCGCCGUAGUUGGGAUUGAGGGCUGCAACUCGCCCUCAUGAACCUGGAAUCCCUAGUAACCGCGCGUCACCAUCGCGCGGUGAAUACGUCCCUGCUCCUUGCACACACCGCCCGUCAAGGGC
rnacentral:rRNA from 1 species